CCUCCUAUCUCAACGCACCACCCCCAAACGUCCAGCCCAACGCACGUAACGGCUGCCUCCUAGGGAUUUCUCACACGGUAGCGUUCUCUCUGCCUCUCUCGAAUUCUUUUACCCCAAUUUGUCUCCUUCCUCCCGUUGCCGAGAACCACCACCUCACAGCCUUGCCGCGAUCUGCAGUGGAGCCAUCGAGUAGACACCUGGCACUGCCUAGCCCAUUUUCCCCUCCCCUCCACGCACAGCCAGCCACUAUCUUCACCUCAAGCCGCUGUGAGCAGCAGCAAGGAGUAGAAAGCAGCGGCAGCCCCAACCAAAAUCGAGAGCCCUCCGUUUCCGCAACCCACCUCAACUGUCCUUUCAUCCGCCGCAGAACCACCAGCAGUAGCGGAUUCAAGUUUCCUACCAGCCACGUCCAAUCGCAAGAAUUCUCCGAGUUCAGUCACCGAAGGCCAAAACGGAUUACCAAAUCAGCCCCUUCUGUCGCUUACACCACCGUUGUCUCCUCCCCAACGCCGUGAACCUGCCGAAAUAGAGCAAGUUUCCUUGCUCCUCAACUCGGCCACCACUGCCUCCACCGAGAGCCACCGUUCUUGUGCUCCAUCCAACAAAUCCUCCUUACGACAGCAUCCAAACACAAUUCUCCACCGCCGGUUUGCAGCGAACCCCAGUCACCGCCAUCUUCAAGACCACUAGAAAAUAGCUGUUACAGUCAAGACCACUAUCAACAAAUGAAGCGGGUCUUCAAGAUCUCAGACGCUGCCCAAGCAGAGCUAUUUUGCUUCGCAAAGCCGAAAACUCUUACCUCCUCACCAUUCAUCUUCACCCUUACCAAGUCCUCUAAUCACCAACUCAAGACUCGAGACCUCAAUGUCCAAACCCAAUAUCCCUCCAAACCCAACUUCUAUAGCAUCGUCAGCUUGUUCUGGGACAAAUUCUGCCCCUCUGAUUCCCGAGCCAGGGAGGAUUUGAGAAACAAGGUGACGCAGUUGAGAGUCGAAUUGGUUAUGAAUUUCGAAGACACUGAUAAGAUUGCAAGUGUUUUGAAGGAGAAGGGGGACUCUUUAUUUCGGAGUUAUUCCGAUGGCUCCGCUUGCGUUGAGCUUUUGAAGCAGCUGGGUUCAUGGCCUCACCUAGCCCUAGAGGUUUUUAAUUGGAGGAGAAAACAGGCGGAUUCUGGCCUUCCCAUGACUUCUGAGGAGUAUGCUAAGGGUAUCACAGUUGCUGGUAGAAUUAAGGAUGUUGGUCUGGCAGUUGAGCUGUUUACUGAGGCUACCAACAAGCGAAUCACGACAACAUCUACUUAUAAUGCACUUAUGGGUGCUUAUAUGUUCAAUGGUCUUGCCGAUAAAUGUCAGUCAUUGUUUCGGGACCUGAAGAGGGAAGCAGUUUUUGGUCCUACUAUUGUAACAUAUAACAUUCUUAUUUCUGUGUUUGGUCGUUUGAUGCUAAUUGAUCACAUGGAGGCAACUUUUCGAGAAAUAAAGGAUUCAAAUCUCUACCCUAACAGAAGCACAUACAACAAUUUAAUUGCUGGAUAUGUUACGGCUUGGAUGUGGGAUAGUAUGCAACAAACUUAUGAGAUGAUGAAAAUCAGCCCUGUUGAUCCUGACAUUAACACCUACUUGCUAAUGCUUCGGGGUUAUGCACAUUCAGGUAAUUUAGAAAAGAUGGAGGAAACAUAUGCAUUGGUAAAGCAUCAUGUUAAUGACGAAAGCAUUCCAUUAAUCAGAGCCAUGAUAUGUGCAUAUUGUAGGAGUUCUGCAACAGAUAGAGUCAAAAAGAUUGAAUUGCUAAUGAAGCUCAUUCCGGAGGAGGAGUAUAGGCCAUGGUUGAAUGUGAUGUUGAUUAGGGUUUUUGCUCAAGAAGAUUUGUUGGAGGAGAUGGAGAACUCAAUAGAUGAGGCAUUUGAGCACAAAACCUCUGUAACAACAGUGGGUGUGAUGCGGUCCAUUGUUGCAAGUUAUUUUCGGUGCAAUGCAGUGGAUAGGCUUACUAAAUUUGUGAGGCGUGCAGAAUCUGCUGGCUGGAGAAUCUGUCGGUCCCUGUAUCAUUGUAAGAUGGUGAUGUAUGCAUCACAGAGGCGCUUGCAGGCAAUGGAGAGUGUCUUGAAUGAGAUGGAUAAUGUUAACCUUGAUCGCACAAAGAAGACAUUUUGGAUAAUGUACAAGGCCUACUCUAUGUGUGAUAAAAAACACAAGGUCGAGCAAGUAUUAGGAUUGAUGUGUAAGCACGGUUAUGAAAUUCCUUUGCAUGCAUUUCCGUCGUAACUUAUCUUUCACAGCAGCAUAUCAGAUGCCAGAAUUGUAAAAAACAAUCAAUUGAUUGUUGUGAUAGAUUCACUGCACCUGUGUGAUGGGAUUUAACGUUCAACUAAUUCAAAGGGAAGCCACAUUAGAAUAUACAAUGUGGAUAGAGGAUGGACAGUUCAGAAGAACAUUCUUGCCAAAAGUUUACGAUGGACAGUUACCGAUACAUCACUUUCUCCUGAUCACCGCCAUCUUGUUAGUUCCUGUCUUUUGGCCCUUCUCUUUAAAAGUCAUGUUUAUAUAUAUUUACACUUCAUAAAUUUGUGAUGCUAGGGGUCUGGCCUCUUAAAGGAACUACCCAGAUCUGGAAUGUGUAGGUCUAUUGAACAUAUGUACAUUACUUUUUGCGGUUUUGGAACAGUAUUCUCUUUCAUAUGAAGAGAGGAUACUGUUGAGUAAAAGUUGACUUAAAGGACAUCAACCCCAAGAAACGAAUUUCAGGGAGUAAAUGGAUGAAACUGUUAAAGAUAUCA